CAAUAGCGUAUAUUAAAGUUGUUGCGGUAAAAAAGCUCGUAGUUGGAUUUCUACCGAAGAUAGCCGGUCGGGUCUACGACCUUGUAUCUGGUUUUGUCUUUGGUAUCCUCAUAGGGAACGUUUCUGCGCUUUAUUGCGUGGUGCGGUAUCUAUGACUUUUACUUUGAGGAAAUUAGAGUGUUCACGGCAGGCAAACGCCUUGAAUAUAUUAGCAUGGAAUAAUAACAUAGGAUCUUCGUCCUAUUUUGUUGGUUUCUAGGGCUAAGAUAAUGAUUAAUAGGGAUAAUUGGGGGCAUCUGUAUCAACGCGUCAGAGGUGGAAUUCUUGGAUUGCGUUGCGACAAACUACUGCGAAAGCAUUUGCCAAGGAUGUUUUCACUGA
rnacentral:rRNA from 1 species